rnacentral:rRNA from 1 species
GAUGAACGCUGGCGGCGUGCUUAACACAUGCAAGUCGAACGGAAAGGCCCCCUUGUGGGGUACCCGAGUGGCGAACGGGAGGGGAACACGAGAGUAACCUACCCUUGAUUUUGGGAUAACUUCAGGAAACGGGGGCGAAUACCGGAUAGGAGCUCCUGCUGCAUGGCGGGGGUCGGAAAGUUUCGGCGGUUGGGGUUGGACUCGCGGCUUAUCAGCUUGUUGGUGAGGUAGUGGCUCACCAAGGCUUUGACGGGUAGCCGGCCUGGGAGCGUGACCGGCCACAUUGGGACUGCGGUACGGCCCAGACUCCUACGGGAGGCAGUAGUGGGGAAUAUUGCACAAUGGGCGGAAGCCUGAUGCAGCAACGCCGCGUGCGGGAUGCCGGCCUUCGGGUUGUGAACCGCUUUCGCCUGUGACGAAGCGUGAGUGACGGUAAUGGGUAAGGAAGCACCGGCUAACUACGUG